AUGCCGGCCAACUUGACCUAUCAAGGCCAAAUUUUGGCGGGGUUGUUGUGUAAGGAGGUUGAGUGGAUCCAACAAUAUAGACCCAUAUGCCUCCUUAAAGCCGGCUUCAAGAUCUUCACCAAAGUAGCUACUAAUAGGCUCAACACGGUUGCUGACUAUGUCGUCCGACCAUCUCAAACAACUUCCAUGCAAGGAAGGAACAUAAACGAUGUAGUGAUCCUUCAUGAGACCGUACACGAGAUGCAUCGAAAAAAUAUGAGUAGAGUAGUAUUCAAAACUGACUUUGAAAGGGCUUAUGACAAAGUCAAAUGA
rnacentral:rRNA from 1 species